rnacentral:pre_miRNA from 1 species
AGUGGGAUAGCUGGGUCAAAUGGUGGUUCCAUUCCAAGUUUUAUGAGAAAUCUCCACACUGAUUUCCAAAAUUGGUUGCACCAAUUUGCAGUCCUACCAGUAAU